rnacentral:rRNA from 1 species
UACGUAGGGGGCAAGCGUUGUCCGGAAUCAUUGGGCGUAAAGAGCGUGUAGGCGGCCCGAUAAGUCCGCUGUGAAAGUCCAGGGCUCAACCCUGGAAUGCCGGUGGAUACUGUCGGGCUAGAGUAUGGAAGAGGCGAGUGGAAUUCCUGGUGUAGCGGUGAAAUGCGCAGAUAUCAGGAGGAACACCAGUAGCGAAGGCGGCACUCUGGGCCGGAACUGACGCUGAGGAGCGAAAGCGUGGGGAGCGAACAGG